rnacentral:rRNA from 1 species
CUCUUAAGAUUGAGCUGUGAUGGGGAGAGGAACUUGUUCCUCGAGUCGUUGAUUUCACACUGCCGAGAAAAGCCUCUAGCUAGAAUAACGGUGCCCGUACCGCAAACCGACACAGGUAGUCAAGAUGAGAAUUCUAAGGUGAGCGAGCGAACUCUCGUUAAGGAACUCGGCAAAAUGACCCCGUAACUUCGGGAGAAGGGGUGCUCUUUGAGGUUCACGCUUCGAAGAGCCGCAGUGAAUAGGCCCAAGCGACUGUUUAUCAAAAACACAGGUCUCUGCUAAACCGUAAGGUGACGUAUAGGGGCUGACGCCUGCCCGGUGCUGGAA